rnacentral:rRNA from 1 species
UACAGAGGGUGCAAGCGUUAAUCGGAAUUACUGGGCGUAAAGCGCGCGUAGGUGGUUUGUUAAGUUGAAUGUGAAAUCCCCGGGCUCAACCUGGGAACUGCAUGCAAAACUGGCAAGCUAGAGUAUGGUAGAGGGUGGUGGAAUUUCCUGUGUAGCGGUGAAAUGCGUAGAUAUAGGAAGGAACACCAGUGGCGAAGGCGACCACCUGGACUGAUACUGACACUGAGGUGCGAAAGCGUGGAGAGCAAACAGG